rnacentral:lncRNA from 1 species
AUAGUAUUUCUCAAUAGGUGGUAGGCUGUAAACAAUUGUCAAAAAUAACAAUAAAACAAAAUAAGGGUAAUUACUGGAACAAGAGACUCCGAGGAGGAUAUUAGAAGAGGAUUAUCCUUUCUAAGCACGUGAAAUAGUCAAUCAUCCGUGUAAAUAAUGAAGUAAAUUAAAUUG